rnacentral:rRNA from 1 species
UACGGGGGGGGCUAGCGUUGUUCGGAAUUACUGGGCGUAAAGGGCGCGUAGGCGGUCUGCUAAGUUGGAUGUGAAAACUCUGGGCUUAACCCAGAGCCUGCAUUCAAUACUGACAGGCUAGAGUUCUGGAGGGGAUAGCGGAAUUCCUGGUGUAGCGGUGAAAUGCGUAGAUAUCAGGAGGAACACCGGUGGCGAAGGCGAGUCUCUGGACAACUCCUGACACUGAGGCGCGAAAGCUAGGGGAGCAAACGGG